rnacentral:rRNA from 1 species
GCGUAGGGUAUGUAGGCGGUGAAAAAAGGAAAAAAUUAAAUACUGGAUAAUCAUCCUUUACGUUUUUUCGUCUAUUUCACUUGAAUUUAGAGGGGACAAAGGUACAUUAUAUGGAAGGGUGAUCUGGAGAUAUAUAGAGGACCGACAGUGGUGAAGACAUUUGUCUAUUAAGUAUUGACGCUAAUGUACGAAGGUAUGGGUAUGAAGAGGAUUAGAGACCCUCGUAGUCCAUACUGUAACGCUGAUUGUUCAAUGUGGAAAAUUAUCUGCCGGCAGGUUGAAAUAAUGAAUAGUUUUACAAAAACUCAGAUUAAAUUUUUCGGUGUUCUAGUAACGCGUUAAACAAUCCGCCUGGGAAGUACGGUCGCAAGGUGAAACUCAAAAGAAUUGACGGUGACUUGGACAGGG